GAAUCUUGAUGGUCUUUUCAAUCAUUGAUUUAUCAAGCAAUAAUUUCCAAGGAGAUAUUCUGAAAUCCAUUGCGAAGCUUAAUUCACUUUGAGGUCUCAAUUUAUCUCAUAACAACCCCAUAUCCCAACUUCGCUUGCAAAUUUAACGAACCUUGAAUCAUUGAACCUUUCCUCAAACAAGCUUGUUGGGGAGAUUCCUUGGCAAUUGACAAGUUUGAUGUUUCUUGAGGUGCUAAACCUUUUGGACAACCAACUAGCAGGAUCAAUUUCGCAAGGGAGGCAGGUUAAUUCAUUUGGAAAUGAUUCAUAGAGUGGGAACUUGGCUUUAUGUGGAAUUCCAUUAUCAAAGAAAUGUAAGGAACUACAGCCACUGCCACCUCCACCAACAUUCCAACAAGACGAGAAUCCAGACAAGUCAAGCCAAUUUAGCUAGCAAGUUGUAGUGAUGGGGUAUGGAUGCGGAUGCGGAUGCGGAUGCGGAUGCGGAUUUGUAUUUGUAUUUGGAAUGGUUAUGGGAUAUCUUAUGUUUGUAACUCGAAGACUAGAAUGGCUAAUGAAAAUUGUUGAAGGAAAACAAUAUAAGAAGGUGAAAAGGUCUAUUAACGGUGCCCACUGAUGCAAUAAAGGAAGAAAUCAGCAAAAUCAAAUGGUGUUAUCAGGGAUGGGAAGAAGUCGAAGGCCUUGGGAAAGAGAAGCAAGGGAUCAAAGAAUAUGUCAGAGAAGCUGCAGAAAUCAAGGAUGAAGCUGUUGAAAAGGAUGAUGUUCAAGAGGUUCAUACCGAUGUCACCAUAGAGACUAAUACAGUUGUCAACUCUACUUAGCCCCAAGGAAGGUAUAAGAAAAGAGAGGGGAAACUUGACCAUGCAUAUUCUUCUGAGGAUCUUGGAGGAAUACUUGUGAGUUACUAACCUUAGUAACUUAGGUCCCCAAGUUUUUUGGUAUAGGUAUUGUGAGGUUGUUAUUUUGUGGUGCCUCAAUUUUAAGUGAAGAAUUUAUUUUUUGGGUCACUAUGUUGUCUGAAGGUGCCAAAUUAUUUUUAAAAAAUGGAAUUCUAAGAUUUUUGAGUUCUUCCAUCUGCCCUUAAUUUUCUUAAUAUGUUAAUUGUACAGUUUUCAGAGGUUGCCUCUGUUUUCUUGUUUUGGCUGUAAUUUUUAAUAGAUUGCUGUAAUUCUAUGUGGAAAAUCAUAGGUAAAUUGAUUGUUUGGGAACAUCGCUUUAAAAUUUUCCUAAUUUACUCAAGUUUCACAAGAGUUAGAUUCAGAUUGGUUGAUUGAAUUUGAAUUGAUCAAGCUUCUGACAGCAAAAAAUUGGCUAUAAAUUCUGAAUAUUUGGUGAAAUUGGCAUUCUGGAAAAUAAUGGCUUUCUUAUAUUGUCUAUUAGUUUGGUUGGAAUUUCAGCUAAAUUUCAAAAAAUCGGUUAAUAAUCGAAAGAAUUUAAAGAUUGUAUAGUAGUUAAUGGAAAUCUAUUUUUGUAGUGAGGUUUCAGUAAGGUGUUGGCAUUAGGAAGCUGGACUUAUUUAAUAAGGCGAUAUUAGAAAAAUGGCUAUUGAGAUGCACACUAAAGAGGCUUAGUCUUUGGAGAAGAUUGAUUGAGGGGAGAUAUGGCAGCUUGCUUGGUGGGUAGAGGAUUUAUACUAGUAGAGGUCCAUAUGGGGGUGGGCCUUUGGAAGAGUAUUCUCUCAAUUUUUAGUUUCUUUACGUUAAUUAUUGGCAUUUGGAUUGAUAACCAGAGCUUCUUGUGGAAAUUAUUUAGUUUUUCAUUCCUUUACUCAUCAAUAUUUAGACCCUUUACCCACCCAAAAAAUAUUUAGACCCUUUUUGUUUUUUGUCUCAAUUUUGUUCGUUCGUUGGUAGGCUUAUCUAGAUCACGAUCUUAACAAU